rnacentral:lncRNA from 1 species
CUGAAUUGAAUUAGAAAAAACAUGAGGAAGUAGAAGGAUAAAGCAUGACUGGGUGGGUGAAUGGAUUUUCAGAGCUGUAUGUUAUCUGACUCUGACAAGCUGAUGGUGUGUCAUAACAGUUAAAUUGAUAUUUAGGUAGUUGGUUGUUGGACUUGAAAACACAAAGCUUACAGAGGCACUAAGAGCUCUCAACUGCCUUGGAACAAAAAGGUGCACAGAGCAGUAAGUAAUUUUGGCAUUUCCAAACAUCUUCACAUUAUAACAAAAGGAUAUUUGUGAGUAUAAUACCUAUUUAAAAAAAAAAAAUAAUUCUCUAGCAGUCUAUUGCAGUUGGUGGAUUCAGCGUGAGUAAGCUGGAACAUCUUGCACAUGCCAUUCGUAUGAAAAUCUGUGAGCACUUAAUAUAGCUUGCACAACUUAAAUUGCCAAGUGAUGCAAAGCAGAUGAGGCCCAGAAUGAUUACAGGAUCCCAGAUUGAGGUAUUGGAGUGAUUAAAAAAAAAAUAAUCUCUUUAGACCUACUGCAUAUCUUCAAGGCAAGAAAUACAAACCCACAACAAGAAGUUUUGAACUUGUAAGACAGGCAAAUGGGCACAUAGCUUUCUGGCUGAAAUGUGUAAAACAUGCUAUUGGAGGAUUGAGGAAAGAUGUUUUAGUUUACAUUUGCAGUCUUAUGUAUGAAAAACAGUUUCCAGACCAAAACUGGGUGAAUGUAUUUUUGGGGGAGGUAUUUAUCAGUUAAUAAUGAACAGAAGGAGCAGGCUGAUAAAAAGACAAGUACAGACUGCCUCUGCCUCAGGGAGAACAAACCUGGUUAACAGUUCCAGACAGAAACUCCUCAAGAAGGGGCUGUGGAUGGUUUCAGACUUUUUUUUUGGUGUGUGUAGGAAUAGUGAGGCACAGAGACUUCAGUGUUCCGUGGCCAUCUGUGGAAAACAAGGGAUGAAGCCCCUUUCCCAGGUGCAGCAGUGGGAGAUACAGCAUGGUUCUUGGUCAGGAGCUGGUAUGUCUGUCACAAUGGUGACAAGAUUAAAUUUGAUCCAAAUUUAAUGCAAGCAUGAAAUUCUGCUCUCAGGAAACAUGAGAUUUGUAAAUGAAUUAUGGGGAAUUUUAAUAGUUAUGCAGCUGGAAUAGCAAUGUCUGUGUUUGGACCACAAAAUGAAUGGAUAUCUGGCAACGUGAUGCAGUUACAAAAGAGGCAAGUGUUACUCUGUGAAAUGUGGGGAAAUAAUUGGUCUACACAACUAAAUAAAUGUCACUCAUGUCUCA